rnacentral:rRNA from 1 species
UUGGAGGGCAAGUCUGGUGCCAGCAGCCGUGGUAAUUCCAGCUCCAAUAGCGUAUAUUAAAGUUGUUGCAGUUAAAAAGCUCGUAGUUGAACUUCGGGAUCAAUGAGUUGGUCGUGCCCUUGGUAUGAACUGGCUUUAUUGGUUCUCACCUUCUAAUGAACCAUAAUGUCAUUCAUUUGAUGUUUUGGGGAAUUAGGACUGUUACCUUGAAAAAAUUAGAGUGUUUAAAGCAGGCUCACGCUUGAAUACAUUAGCAUGGAAUAAUGAAAUAGGACAUCGCAUUCUAUUUUGUUGGUUUCUAGGAUCGAUGUAAUGAUUAAUAGGGAUAGUUGGGGGCAUUAGUAUUCAAUUGUCAGAGGUGAAAUUCUUGGAUUUAUUGAAGACUAACUACUGCGAAAGCAUUUGCCAAGGAUGUUUUCAUUAAUCAAGAACGAAAGUUAGGGGAUCGAAGACGAUCAGAUACCGUCGUAGUCUUAACCAUAAACUAUGCCGACUAGGGAUCGGAUGAUGUUGAUUUUUUAAUGACUCAUUCGGCGCCUUACGGGAAAC